rnacentral:rRNA from 1 species
UACGUAGGCAGCGAGCGUUGUUCGGAGUUACUGGGCGUAAAGGGUGUGUAGGCGGUUAUUUAAGUUUGGUGUGAAAUCUCCCGGCUCAACUGGGAGGGUGCGCCGAAUACUGAGUGACUAGAGUGCGGGAGAGGAAAGUGGAAUUCCUGGUGUAGCGGUGAAAUGCGUAGAUAUCGAGAGGAACACCUGCGGCGAAGGCGGGUUGCUGGGCUGACACUGACGCUGAUUGUGCGAAAGCUAGGGGAGCGAACGGG